rnacentral:tRNA from 1 species
GCUACCUUAGCUCAGUUGGUAGAGACGCAGAGUACAAAUUCGCAGGUCGUGGGUUCAAAUCCCGCACGUAGUC